AUAGCUUCUUCGUCUUGGGCGCUUCAUCUUCUCAAAAUUGUAAUUCUUCGUCACUUCGUCGUUUGGGUACUGACCAAAAUAACACAAUUUUUUCUCAUUUUGUCUAUCUGUCUCUUUUUACAUCCCUUAGUCGCAAGCUUGGACUUGUAAAUUAAGACUUCGCUUCUGCUCCAUCAAAGAUUAGUGGGGUUUCGAAGAUUUCUAAUCAAAGACCGUGCUUGGCUUAACAAAAUUUACCUGAAAGUUGAUCUAAUUAGAGAAUUUAGAUGAUGGUGAUACUGAGAAACGGUGCAAGGGUUUGCUCAAGCCAUGGUACUUAUAACCGUCUGCAGCUGUCCUGCUAUAAUAGGUCCUCCUAAUGUACUAGAAGGAGAUAUGGAAGAACACGAGGUACCGGCAGAAGACAUAUUAAAGAGUGCUCUGGCUAAGAGGUUGAUCAUCAAUGUAAAAUCUGCAAAGAAUCUUGAUCGGAGAGGACAUGCAACAAUGAAGGCGUUGUUAGUAAAAGACCAAUGGGAGGAGUCACUAAGGUUCAAGGAGAGUCAGGAUCUUGCAGUUGAUAAUAUGCUUGCUUUAAUAGCAGAGGACUACCCGUCUGAACACAUGGACUGGUGGGGUCACCAAAGAUGAGGCUGUUUUAUAGAACUCAAGGUAUGCCGAGUCGUCAGAGCAUGCUGACAGAGUUGAUGAGACGAUGAUUAAAGAAAGAGCAGACAAUGCCAAUGAACCUGUAAGGAAACGACGUAGAGCUAACAAGACAGUUGAAUCGUUGGACAUUCCAGUUCUUCUUCGUCAGAUGGCCGACGUAUAUGAGAAGAAGUCAUUGUCGAUGUAUGAAGAGUACAUGAGGCAUUCGAAGAACUUUGCGAGAAACAAGUUGGAGAAAUGAAGGGCGAGAUAAGGGACAUCACGGGCGAGAUUAGGAAUAUGCACAGGUUGUAUAACGUAAGUGGUGGAUGGCCUUCUAAUAGUGAAAGCAAAGCCGCAGAUGGUGAAGAGGUAAUGCUACAUGUUACUCAUAAAAGUGGAGAAGCAUCCGAAGAAAGGGAAGCCACGGUUGGUAAAGAGAAGCAGGGAGCCGUGAAUGGUGAUCAUGUGCCUGAACAGCUAGGAAAAUUGUUCCGGGACGGCUCCUGCCUUUCCAGGAAAAGAAGUAACGUCACUUCCGUCGUAUGAAAGCAAUAGGGUAAACAUAUUUAAAAUAAUUUUUAUGAAUCCGAAAUCUGAAUCAUCACCUCCAUUUCUUAAAAUCUGAAUACUCGUAAAAAAAACCAAACAAACCAAACUCAUCCCAAAUUAGUAACAGUCACAAGAUGAAAUGCUCUUAUUAGUUUUUCAUUGUGCAGUACCAAGUUAGUAACAGUCACUAGAUGAGAAAUUAACGUGGAGUAAACCUAAGAACAACCUCAAUAAUGAGUGAAAUAACAAAAGUAGUUAAAUAAGAGUAAUCUGAGUUAUUAUGAAGCAGUGGACGAACUCUAAACCUUCUUGUAUCAAAUAAAAAGGUAAUCUGAGUUAUUACUGGUCAAACGUGUUGUUAUGAUACACAAGUCCACAAUUCCUAAACAUUGUGAAACACCUCCUAAACAUUAUGAAAUUCUUCAUAAAUUUAAAAAAAUGAGUUUUUGAAUCUUUUAUUUAUGUUUUGCCUUAUGUAUCAGCUUGCUUCUCUUGUUGUAGAUAUUUAUUGGAAUAAAGAAGGUUCAUAUAAUCUUUAAACCAUUAUGUUUAUGAAAAUCAUCCUGAAUUUCAAGGUGCUGAUCUUCAAUAGUAUUGAACCCCCUAAAUUUGUAUAAAUGUGUUUCUAACUUUAUAUUUAUGUGCCUUUUGCUUCAAUGUGUCAAAUAUUAGUAGAUU